ACUCCUACGGGAGGCAGCAGUGGGGAAUAUUGGACAAUGGGCGCAAGCCUGAUCCAGCCAUGCCGCGUGAGUGAUGAAGGCCCUAGGGUUGUAAAGCUCUUUCACCGGUGAAGAUAAUGACGGUAACCGGAGAAGAAGCCCCGGCUAACUUCGUGCCAGCAGCCGCGGUAAUACGAAGGGGGCUAGCGUUGUUCGGAUUUACUGGGCGUAAAGCACACGUAGGCGGACUAUUAAGUCAGGGGUGAAAUCCCGGGGCUCAACCCCGGAACUGCCUUUGAUACUGGUAGUCUUGAGUUCGAGAGAGGUGAGUGGAAUUCCGAGUGUAGAGGUGGAAUUCGUAGAUAUUCGGAGGAACACCAGUGGCGAAGGCGGCUCACUGGCUCGAUACUGACGCUGAGGUGCGAAAGCGUGGGGAGCAAACAGGAUUAGAUACCCCGGUAGUCCC
rnacentral:rRNA from 1 species